AUGCUUGAAGCUCUGGACUGCAUCCUACCACCAACUCAUCCAACUGACAAGCCCCUGAGUCUGUCCCUCGAGGAUGUCUACAAAAUUGGUGGCAUUGGUACUGUCCCUGUGGGCAGAGUGGAAACUGGUGUUCUCAAACUCAGCAUGGUAGUAAUCUUUGCUCCAGUCAAUGUUACAACUGAAGUAAAGUUUGUUGAAAUGCACCAUGAAGCUUUGAGUGAAGCUCUUCCUAGGGACAAUGUGGGCUUCAAUGUCAAGAACAUGUCUGUCAAAGAUGUUCGUUGUGGCAAUAUGGCUGGUGACAGCAAAAAUGACCCACAAAUGGAAGCAGCUGGCUUCACAGCUCAAGGUGAUUAUCCUGAACCAUCCAGGCCAAAUCAGUGCUGGACAUGCACCUGUGUUGGAUCGUCACACAGCUCAUAUUGCUUGUAAAUUUGCUUAGCUGAAGAAGAUGAUUGACUGUCGUUCUGGGAAAAAGCUGGAAGAUGGUUCUAAGUUUCUGAAAUCUGGUGAUGCUGCCAUCAUAGAUAUGGUUCCUGGCAAGCCCAUGUGUGUUGAGAGCUUCUCUGACUAUCUCCCUCUGGGCUGCCUUGCUGUUCAUUGCAUGAGACAGACAGUUGCUAUGGAUGUCAUCAAAGCAGUGGACAAGAAGGCAACUGGAGCUGGCAAAGUCACCAAGUCUGCCCAGAAAGCUCAGAAGGCUAAGUGAAUAUUAUCCCCAAUACCUGUCACCCCAGUCUUAAUCAGUGAUAGAAGAAAAGUCUCAGAACUGUUUGUCUCAAUUGGCCAUUUAAGUUUAAUGGUAAAAGACUGGUUAAUGAUUACAAUGCACCAUAAAACCUUCAGAAAGGAAGGAGAAUGUUUUAUGGACCAUUUGGUUUUUUUGUGUGUGUGGCAGUUUUUAAGUUAUUAGUUUUUAAAAUCAGUACUUUUUAAUGGAAACAACUUGACCAAAUAUCUGUCAUAGAAUUUUGAGACCCAUUAAAACAAAGUUUAAUGAGAAAAAAAA